GUCUCCGUCGUCUAGUGGUUAGGACACUACCCUUUCACGGUAGGAACGAGGUUUCAACUACCUCCGGAGACG
rnacentral:tRNA from 1 species